AGGUGCAAAGAAAACAUGUUUAUGACCUUAGGCAAUUAAUUUUAACAGGUGAUUCCGAAAGUUGUUCACAACACAUAUUCCAGUAGUAAAUCUGCUUGCAUUGUGAGUUCUUUCGGAAAAAGUGUGAUUGGCAUACUGGUACAUGCAAGCUGUUGUAGAUGAAAUCAUUUUUGGAAAUGUUGAUCCACUGAAG